rnacentral:rRNA from 1 species
AGCAGCCGCGGUAAUUCCAGCUCCAAUAGCGUAUAUUAAAGUUGUUGCAGUUAAAAAGCUCGUAGUUGAAUUUCGGGAUCAGUAGGUCGGUCAUGCCUCAGGUAUGUACUGGUCUCACUGGUUCCUCCUUCCUGAUGAACCGUAAUGCCAUUAAUUUGGUGUUGCGGGGAAACUGGACUGUUACUUUGAAAAAUUAGAGUGUUUAAAGCAGGCUAACGCUUGAAUACAUUAGCAUGGAAUAAUGAAAUAGGACGUUCGAUCCUAUUUUGUUGGUUUCUAGGAUUGACGUAAUGAUUAAUAGGGAUAGUUGGGGGCAUUAGUAUUCAAUUGUCAGAGGUGAAAUUCUUGGAUUUAUUGAAGACUAACUACUGCGAAAGCAUUUGCCAAGGAUGUUUUCAUUAAUCAAGAACGAAAGUUAGGGGAUCGAAGACGAUCAGAUACCGUCGUAGUCUUAACCAUAAACUAUGCCGACUAGGGAUCGGAUGAUGUUAUUUUUAA